GUCUUGGGGCAUAUCUCCCUGAGUGCACCACAUCUCCACUGAUCUUGGAAGCUAAGCAGGGUCAGGCCUGGCUAGACCUUGGAUGAGAGACUACAGAAAGACCAGAAAGCAAGACC
rnacentral:rRNA from 14 species